CAACAACAAACAUUUUAACUGUCGUCUGAUUAUAACAAACGACAGCAAGAAAUAUUCUGUCGUCUUAAAUUUCGAAUCCAACGACAGUUGUUGCAUUGAUGUUAUGCAAUUGUAAAUCAGACAAUGGUUGUUUUUUCGAUGUUGUCUGAAUCAAUCAAUUCAGACAACAGUUAUUACAUUGAUGUUGUCUUAGGUUGAUUAACACAAUGGUUGAGAAAAGAUGUUGUCUGAUUGUUUUUAAUCACACAACAGUUAUUAUUUCUCUGUUGUGCAAUUGUUGUUUAAACAAUGGUUGAAAAAGAUGUUGUCUGAUUGUAUUUGUUCACACAACAGUUUUUAAGUUGUCUGUUAUGCCACUUUCUUUCAAACAAUGUACUUGAAUUGAUGUUGUCUGAGUUUUAGAGUUCAAUAUGUUGGCGCCCUAGAAUUGGCUUUAACACUUGACUAAAUUUUCAAUUUUCACUUCCCUCCAUUCGACCAAAUUUUACAUUUCACCUGGAGUAGUAUAUAAAGGAAAGGGAACCCUAGCCCUCUCUCGGGCCGCACACUCCUCUCUCUCUCUCUCUCUAUCACACCACCGGAGAACAAAACCCCGCCCUCAAUCGAGAUCACCGGACCACCACACACGACCCCCUAAAGCUACAGCGUCGCUGUUCCUUAACCUUCUUCGAUCGCCGGCCAUCUUUUCAACACACCGCCACCACCAACGUGCUCAAACCGAUCCGAGCUUCAAAACCCAGGAUUUCGUUGACCACUGAGGCCGAAUAACCACCGGACGACCUCGUCGCGGGAGCUCUUAGCUCUUCGCCGUGAGGUAAUUUUUCUCUCUUUACUUUAUCAGAUUUCAAUUUCAGUGCAUUUUGUUUGUUUUGUUUAUAAUAACUUAACUAACCGAAGGUGGAGGUAGGUAUAAACACAGAUAUUUGUUUCAUUUUGAGAAUGCAUGCUCUUGGAGGUGGAGGCCAUGGCGGGUUCUAGGGUUGGGACUCUCUACCAAAGAAAACCCACAACAAAGAAAGCGAUUUGAUAGUUCUGGGUUUUAGGUUCUUGGGUAGUUUUCCAUUAUGGAUUUUGAUUCGGAAAUUGGUUGUUGUGAGCUUCCAGGUACAUUUGAUCCUGAACUCCGUUUAGUACUUGAACUUGCCACUGAUUCUGAGUUAUAUGAGAUUGAAAGAAUCCUUUUUGGCCCUAGUUAUAUGCAGUCAGGCAUUUUGUGUUGAAAUACACCUCAUUGUCAACUUGUUUGGAGUCAAUGUUACUUGAAUUUCUUGGGCUUGCCACUAUUUUGAGUGUAUGAGGGGUCUUGAUUAUAGAAAGUAGUUUCAAUUCUAUUUCAUCAUAUUCAAUAUUUAUUAUUAUUUUAAUUAAACUAAUUGCUAGUGUCACAUAGUUGCCAAUGGAGUUUUCAUGUUGACUAUUUGAUUGGUUUAUGCGGGAUUCUUGGUAGUGGUUGGAGGCCAUCAUAUAGGAAUGUCUUGCUUGCAUAUUUCUCAAUAUUGGACCUUGGUUCUUGUUAGUUUCUGAAGUGGAAAUAAUAUUAUCUUAAAGGAAUGAGAGAUUAAUAGAGAACUGUAGGUAUUGAAGUGAAUCAUGGGAUGUGCUUGCCAAAAGUUAAGCAGUGAUUAUUUAUUUGUCAAAAUCCUUGCUUUAAGCAUUAACUUAAUUUUUUUUUUUGGGUCUAUUUUGAACGUGUUUUAAUGAAUUAGAAGGAGUCACUUCGGCCAUGCAGUGAAGAACCAGGAAGUUUUGAGGGCUUCCUAGAAGUCUCUGAGCGGUCAGAUGCUUGUCUUGAACUCGGACUCAGUCAAUGGAAGGUGUAAGCCCUCACUGGUUUAAAAGUUGGGGAAGUAGAGCUCCGAUCGAUGUUUUUAAAGGGUGGUGGUAUCCUUACUCUGCCAAAGAUAUAUCAGUUGUGAGAAUAACAAAUGCCCAUAUGUUGCCCUCAUGUUUCAAAUCGGUGUAGCUGCAACUUAUCAUAAUAUCAACCACUUAGGAGAAGUUUUGUAUCAAAUUGCUCAAGGCUUUGAACUGAGAUGGUGGAAAUGAAAGGCAAUGUGCAGUCAUUGGGAGAUCAAGCUUGGAACACCCAGCAAAUUGUAUUAUUCUUUAUCAUCAUGUAAACCUUAUGAAUCUUGAGAGCUUGUUAAGCUAAUGAAAUGGAUUAAUGCUUUAUGAAAUUGUUUUUGUUGGAUC